UACGUAGGGACCAAGCGUUGUCCGGAAUCAUUGGGCGUAAAGAGCGUGUAGGCGGCUUGUUAAGUCUUGCGUGAAAUCUCGGGGCUCAACCCCGAGCGGUCGUGAGAAACUGGCAGGCUAGAGUGCGGGAGAGGAGAGUGGAAUUCCUGGUGUAGCGGUGAAAUGCGCAGAUAUCAGGAAGAACACCCGUGGCGAAGGCGUCUCUCUGGAACGCAACUGACGCUGAGACGCGAAAGCGUGGGGAGCAAACAGG
rnacentral:rRNA from 1 species